UUUUUAGUAUAAGUAUGUCCCAUGCAACCUUUGGGACAUACUUAUGCUUAAA
rfam:Homo sapiens chromosome 9, GRCh38 reference primary assembly.